rnacentral:rRNA from 1 species
GCAAGUCGAGCGAUGAAACACCUCUCCGGUGUGAAUUAGCGGCGAACGGCUGUGGAACACGUGAAGAAUCUGCCUUCAACUCUGGGAUAACUCCGGGAACCCGGGGCUAAUACCGGAUAUGAGCCUUGAUCGCAUGAUCGGGGCUGGAAAGUUUUUCGGUUGAAGAUGACUUCGCGGCCUAUCAGCUUGUUGGUGAGGUAAUGGCUCACCAAGGCGACGACGGGUAGCCGGCCUGAGAGGGCGACCGGCCACACUGGGACUGAGACACGGCCCAGACUCCUACGGGAGGCAACAGUGGGGAAUAUUGGGCAAUGGAGGAAACUCUGACCCAGCGACGCCGCGUGAGGGAUGAAGGCCUUCGGGUUGUAAACCUCUUUCAGUAGGGAAGAAGCGAAAGUGACGGUACCUACAGAAGAAGCACCGGCUAACUAUGUGCCAGCAGCCGCGGUAAUACAUAGGGUGCAAGCGUUGUCCGGAAUUAUUGGGCGUAAAGAGCUCGUAGGUGGUUCGAUACGUCGGAUGUGAAAAUCAGGGGCUCAACCCCUGACCUGCAUCCGAUACGGUCGAGCUGGAGUUUGGUAGGGGAGACUGGAAUUCCUGGUGUAGCGGUGGAAUGCGCAGAUAUCAGGAGGAACACCGAUGGCGAAGGCAGGUCUCUGGGCCAAUACUGACACUGAGGAGCGAAAGCGUGGGGAGCGAACAGGAUUAGAUACCCUGGUAGUCCACGCCGUAAACGGUGGGCGCUAGUUGUGCGAACCUUCCACGGUUUGUGCGACGCAGCUAACGCAUUAAGCGCCCCGCCUGGGGAGUACGAUCGCAAGAUUAAAACUCAAAGGAAUUGACGGGGCCCCGCACAAGCAGCGGAGCAUGCGGCUUAAUUCGA